GCCCGAGUGGUCUAGUGGUAUGAUUCUCGCUUUGGGAACUUCGAUUCCGUGAAUAUGCGAGAGGUCCCGCGUUCGAUCCGCGGCUCGGGCC